UAUGGNGCAANCGUUAUCCNGAUUUANUGGNUGUAAAGGGAGCGCAUCACGGAUGGGCAAGUCUGAUGUGAAAACCCGGGGCUCAACCCCGGGACUGCAUUGGAAACUGUUCCCUUGAGUGCAGUUGAGGCAGGCGGAAUUCGUGGUGUAGCGGUGAAAUGCAUAGAUAUCACGAAGAACCCCGAUUGCGAAGGCAGCCUGCUAAGCUGUAACUGACGUUGAGGCUCGAAAGUGUGGGUAUCAAACAGGAUUAGAUACCCUGGUAGUCCACACGGUAAACGAUGAAUACUCGCUGUUUGCGAUAUACUGCAAGCGGCCAAGCGAAAGCGUUAAGUAUUCCACCUGGGGAGU
rnacentral:rRNA from 1 species